rnacentral:rRNA from 1 species
UACGUAGGGGGCAAGCGUUGUCCGGAUUUAUUGGGCGUAAAGAGCGUGUAGGCGGCCAGGCAGGUCCGCUGUGAAAACUCGAGGCUCAACCUCGAGAGGUCGGUGGAAACCGUCUGGCUAGAGUCCGGAAGAGGAGAGUGGAAUUCCCGGUGUAGCGGUGAAAUGCGCAGAUAUCGGGAAGAACACCCGUGGCGAAGGCGGCUCUCUGGGACGGUACUGACGCUAAGACGCGAAAGCGUGGGGAGCGAACAGG